rnacentral:rRNA from 1 species
GGCUCAGGACGAACGCUGGCGGCGUGCCUAAUACAUGCAAGUCGAGCGGACGAAUUUUUGGUGCUUGCACCAAAUUUUCGUUAGCGGCGGACGGGUGAGUAACACGUGGGUAACCUACCUUAUAGAUUGGGAUAACUCCGGGAAACCGGGGCUAAUACCGAAUAACACUUUUAAACACAUGUUUGGAAGUUGAAAGACGGUUUUGCUGUCACUAUAAGAUGGACCCGCGGCGCAUUAGCUAGUUGGUGAGGUAAUGGCUCACCAAGGCCACGAUGCGUAGCCGACCUGAGAGGGUGAUCGGCCACACUGGGACUGAGACACGGCCCAGACUCCUACGGGAGGCAGCAGUAGGGAAUCUUCCACAAUGGACGAAAGUCUGAUGGAGCAACGCCGCGUGAGUGAAGAAGGAUCUCGGUUCGUAAACUCUGUUGCAAGGGAAG